rnacentral:lncRNA from 10 species
CUGCUGUGUGCUGGCUGUUGCGCAGGUUGCCUGGAAGUGAUUGGAGGGGAAGGAAUGCCAAUUCUCAGACAUUUCCAGCUCUCCUUACAGGCGAGGCAGCUGGCUCCAAUAGCCCAAGGGAAACUGCUGGAAAAGAGAGGAGCAUGCCCCUCCUGGAGCUUUCUUCCUUCCCGCUGGCCGGAAUGCAGUUGUGAUCAUUUGAGUUUCAGCAGCCACCUUGGGCCAUUUGGAGGAAGGCAUCUGCUGUGCAUGGCAGAGUCACGUGAAAGAAGGAAGCUGAUUCAUUAUCACCAGGUCACCGUGUCAGCCCUGGACUGCCUACUUCUGAACUUUUUACUUGAGGGAUUAAAGUAACCCUGGGUGUUUAAUCAUUGUUAAUUUGGAUUUUCUGCCAUUAAUAACCAAAUCAAGUUCUAACUGAUAGAAACACGCAGGGAAAAAACGUUGAAUGGAAAAGUAGGCACAAAAGUGGAUGUUCUUCAUGGAUCCCAGCUAUUUAAGUUAUAGAUUGGUACAGAGAUGGUGAUUGAAUGGUGAGUCAUCAAUAAUAGUGUGAUGGUGUUGAUUGGAUUUUUCCCUCUGUAAACAAGUUUAGUUGCUGAAUCGGUCAGGAGAGGCUAGGUUAUGCUGAGGUGACAAGCAACUCCUAAAUUUCAGGGCCGUAAGACAACUCAAUUUAAUUCUUACUCUCCAUGUUCGUCGUGGGUCAGCAGGAGGCUGUGCUCAUGGCAGUCACUCAGAGCACUGGCUGACAGAGACGCUGUGACAGAGGGCAAGAGAGAACGCUGGAAGGUCUCGCUCUCACCAGGAAUUAAAUGCCACGGCCUGAAAGUGACACUUUCAUGGUGCUCACAACUCAUUGGCCAGGACCAGUCCUAGAACCUGGCCCACCCACAUGGAGGCAACGAGUGCAACUCUGCCACCUGCCCAGAAGGCGGCGAGCUGGAGAGACUUGGCAGAUUGCACCAGUGAUGAUCACAGAUACAUCAUGAAGAAAACGUAAGAGCACAAACAUUUGUGAAAUAAUUUUUAGAAGUCCUUCCAGAA